rnacentral:rRNA from 1 species
GAUGAACGCUAGCGAUAGGCUUAACACAUGCAAGUCGAGGGGCAGCAUGGUCUUAGCUUGCUAAGGCUGAUGGCGACCGGCGCACGGGUGCGUAACGCGUAUGCAACUUGCCUCACAGAGGGGGAUAACCCGUUGAAAGACGGACUAAUACCGCGUACACUCUAUGUUGGGCAUCCAAUGUAGAGGAAAUGAAAUUCGCUGUGAGAUAGGCAUGCGUCCCAUUAGCUAGUUGGUGAGGUAACGGCUCACCAAGGCGACGAUGGGUAGGGGAACUGAGAGGUUGAACCCCCACACUGGUACUGAGACACGGACCAGACUCCUACGGGAGGCAGCAGUGAGGAAUAUUGGUCAAUGGGCGAGAGCCUGAACCAGCCAAGUCGCGUGAAGGAUGACUGUCUUAUGGAUUGUAAACUUCUUUUAUACGGGAAUAACAAGAGUCACGUGUGGCUCCCUGCAUGUACCGUAUGAAUAAGCAUCGGCUAACUCCGUG